GCAACCUAAGACAUCAGUGAGUAAUGACUUAUCAACGGACUUUAUCUAUGUUCCAAAAAAGGAAACUACAUCAGUAAGGAUGGCUGAGGAUGUGGUAAGGCAUGCAAUUCCAGUUGUGAGAUUGGCAGUGCCUUUUAUGCCAUAUGGUGAUCCCCUCCAAAUAAGCCAGGAGAUGCUGACAGGUUUUCAAGCUCGCCCAUGGUUUACCAGGAAGAAGUGCAGAGGUCCUCAAAUUAGACUUAGUCGAAGCUGUAAUUUCCACUGAGCACUGUCUUCUGGUCAGGACACGGGUCUCCAGGAAGCAGAGCUUGUUAGUGCAGGCCUAGAGCCAUGCUCCUGUGGCAGCAGCACUUCAGGACUUGAGCUAGUUCAGGCCAUGCCAAACCAAAAAAGGAUGCCAAAUACUAACAAGCCCCAGCAGCUGUCAAUAAACUCUGAAUGGAUCACAAGAUGGUGCUAUUACACAUGGCCCUGGAUAUCAAUCUUCAUCUCCUUUCAGAUAUUUAAAUUAUUCUUUAUUGUAAGAAGAAAUAUUGUGUUACAUUGGAGUGCAUUUGAGAUUUUGUUUUUCUGAGAAUGUCUUUUAUAAGUACUUAUCUCAUUUCCAGGUCUGAGAUACAGUUUCUUAGUAAAAUAAGUCUGCCAGAGAGUCUGCCUCACUGAGUCAUUGGAAAUGGAAGCAGAUAUUUAAGGGUGCCAGGCGCACAGUCCUAUACAGUUUUAAUUUAGGGCUUUCUAGUUCAAAACUCAUGAAUAAAAAGGCCA
rnacentral:lncRNA from 1 species